GCUUCUUCAGGAACAACAACACGGAUACUAUUUCAACCACCUGGGUAGCUUGCUGGACAAGGUAAAACUGAAAGAUUGACGUUUUAGGCCAUGUUAAUGUACAUUAGCUAAUCGCAGUGUAUAAAACACAUUUCAGUUGACGUUAACUUGAACCUAAUUUGCUUGUUCAAUUUGCAAAUUUGUUAAAGAUUGAUACUGAGCCUAGCACUAGGCUAUUCGCUAAUGCUAACUAGCUAGCUAACAUCCCUGACCAUGAGCUCAUUAAACUACUCAUCCCCUGCUAAAGAAGUGGAUGUCUGCUGUCCGGAGAAAGAAGCUCUGGCGCUGAACAUUGUCGUGAAAGACGAAGAGGAGGAGGAUAUUACAGUGAAAGGAGAGAAAGAUGCUCUGGCGCUGAACAUUGUCGUGAAAGACGAAGAGGAGGAUAUUACAGUGAAAGGAGAGAAAGAUGCUCUGGCGCUGAACAUUGUCGUGAAAGACGAAGAGGAGGAUAUUACAGUGAAAGGAGAGAAAGAACCUUUCAGAAUGGAAGAGGAGGCUGUUAUAGGGAAAGAAGAGAAACAUCCUCUUCCUCUCUAAAAGGUUCUAUCUCAGUAAAGGUGAAGGAGGAAGACGUUUUGGGAGUGAAAGAGGAGGAGACAGAAUAUCAGAUUAACACCAGAGAGAGACAUGACUAUUGUGGAUCCUCUGGGGAGACUCAACAUCCUGAUGCUGACGAGGCAGAGAAGAGUCUCUCCAUUUCAGAACACCAGAUGGACAACGCUAGCCCUUCCUCCCUCCCGGAGUCCCCGUGUCAUGCCUCUCCCGGUAGCACCUUACUGCUGGGUAUGAAGAGGUUGUUUGUGCUGCUGGUGGACUGCAGGAAAACAAUGGGGCUGAGUGGAACUGUGGGAGGAGGAGAAGAGAAGAAAGGAUCAGAUUUGACUCAUCAAAGUAAGUGCUGUAAUUUAGUUUGAACAAAUUAAAUAGAUCUGUCCACUGGUAUCUGUUACCAGGACAACCAGCAGAGUUCUGUUAGUUGACAGGAAGAUAGACUGGUGUAUAU